rnacentral:rRNA from 1 species
AUCGAACGCUGGCGGCAGGCCUAACACAUGCAAGUCGAACGAGUGGCGGACGGGUGAGUAAUGUCUGGGAAACUGCCUGAUGGAGGGGGAUAACUACUGGAAACGGUAGCUAAUACCGCAUACCAUCGGAUGUGCCCAGAUGGGAUUAGCUAGUAGGUGGGGUAAAGGCUCACCUAGGCGACGAUCCCUAGCUGGUCUGAGAGGAUGACCAGCCACACUGGAACUGAGACACGGUCCAGACUCCUACGGAAGGCAGAAGUAGGGAAUAUUGCACAAUGGGCGCAAGGCUGAUGCAGCCAUGCCGCGUGUGUGAAGAAGGCCUUCGGGUUGGAAAGCACUUUCAGCGAGGAGGCGUUACUCACCGGAAAAGCACCGGCUAACUCCGUGCCAGCAGCCGCGGUAAUUC